UUUGAAGUAAAAAGUUGUAACAAGGUUUCCGUAGGUGAACCUGCGGAAGGAUCAUUACCGAGUGAGGGCCCUCUGGGUCCAACCUCCCACCCGUGUUUAUCGUACCUUGUUGCUUCGGCGGGCCCGCCGUUAUGGCCGCCGGGGGGCACCCGCCCCCGGGCCCGCGCCCGCCGAAGACACCUUUGAACGCUGUCUGAAGAUUGCAGUCUGAGCACUUAGCUAAAUCAGUUAAAACUUUCAACAACGGAUCUCUUGGUUCCGGCAUCGAUGAAGAACGCAGCGAAAUGCGAUAAGUAAUGUGAAUUGCAGAAUUCAGUGAAUCAUCGAGUCUUUGAACGCACAUUGCGCCCCCUGGUAUUCCGGGGGGCAUGCCUGUCCGAGCGUCAUUGCUGCCCUCAAGCACGGCUUGUGUGUUGGGCCCCCGCCUCCCGGUCCCGGGGGGCGGGCCCGAAAGGCAGCGGCGGCACGCGUCCGGUCCUCGAGCGUAUGGGGCUUCGUCACCCGCUCUGUAGGCCCUUCCGGCGCCCGCCGGCGACCCCCAUCAAUCUUUCCAGGUGACCUCGGAUCAGNAGGAACCCGUAAUA
rnacentral:rRNA from 1 species